AUGGCGCCGGCGAUGAUGAUGAAGAGCGCCGGCAACGGCGGCAGGGCGGGCGGGCACGUGCGGUCGGCGAGCGUGCCGAGCCAGAGGCACCCGCUGCUGACCCACGUCGACGACCAGCUGCGCGCGCUCCGGUCCUGGACCUCCGACCCGGGCCAGAACCCGCUGGCGCUCGCCCACGUCCGGGCGCUCCUCUGCGUGCUCGACGAGCUGCUGGAGCACUCGUACCUGCCGCCGGCCGACGCCCUGCUCGACGGCUUCCUCGCCCUCGCCGACGCCUACGGCUCCUUCCUCGCCGCCCUGCUCGCGCUCCGUGGCCACGCCGCCGAGCUCCGCGCGGCCGUUCGCCGCCGCGACGCCGGCAAGCUCGCCUCCGCGGCCCGCGCGCAGCGCCGCGCCGCCAAGGACCUCGCCGGCCUAGCCGCCGCAGUCGCCAAGUGUGUGCCCGCGCCAGUCCACACCUCCUCCUCCUCCGCCGCCGCGUCGGGUCUCGACGUGGCGUGCACCGUGGCCAAGGCCGUGGGCGACACGGCGGCCGCGUCCGCGUCCGUCUUCCUCCAGGUCGCCGCGCUCGCCGACGCGGCCGCGGCCACGGCGCUGGCGUCCUCCUCCGCCACCUCGCCCAAGCCGCGGCUGGCGCUGGUGGGCGGCAAGAGGCCCGCACCCGCCGGCGAGGACACGCACAGGGACGCGGCGGCGAGGCUGGUGGAGCUGGAGGAGUGCGUGGGCGAGCUGGAGAGCGAGAGCGAGAAGGUGUUCAGGAGCCUCCUGCGCACCAGGGUCUCCCUGCUCAACAUCCACACGCCAACAAUUUAG
rnacentral:rRNA from 1 species